rnacentral:sRNA from 1 species
UUCUGUAAGGGACCAUCUUUGUCUCUUGACCUUUUACCUUAGCCAAAUGAGUUCUUUGAUGAUGCAUUGCUUGAUUCACGUUCCAGAACUAAUGAAUGUUAAAGGGAUUGGUAGAUUUGAAAACUUGUGUAGGUCGAGCAUAUGAGUCGGAUUGAUUGAUUGAUGAGGCAUGGCUAACGUUUUUAAGUAGAAUUUGAUCUUGCAGCUUAGAACUUUCAACUUGGACAUUGAUUUCAUCUGGUUUAUCUAGUGCUUUGGCUCUGAGUCCCCGCUUUCAAACCUCACCUCCAGCUUGUUCUUGAUUGUUUGCUUGAGGGCAAGCAAAGACUAAGUUUGGGGGAGUUGAUAAGUGUGUAUUUUGCAUGUUUUGAGCAUCCAUUUGUCAUCACUUUAGCAUCAUAUCAUCACUGUUUUAUACCAUUUCACAUCAUUUGUCAUCACUUUGCAUGUUAAGGAUAGUUUUGCAUGCAUGUUGCAUAUUUGCGUUGAUUUUCUGUUUUCUGCAUGUUCAUUUAGGACUGCUAGAACACACCAAAACCUGUUAUGCUUGGCUUGACUUAGUGACUUCUGAUCACAUCUUGAUUGUUAGCAUCACACCCAUUUGGAUUGACAACCUAAAAUACUACAACGACAUGAUUGGUGUUAUAGGAUAAUUGACCAAAAAAAACCUACUAUCAGUUUGCAGGAAGAGAAAUUGGGAAGACCGUUCCAUCUUGGUGAGGUGUUCAUCCAGACACACACUAAGUCGGAUGGCACUUAUGUUGAUCGGAAGGCGGAGAAGAUUGCUCAAACUUAUGGGCAGAAUGUGAGAUCAAAGCUGUCUGAACUGGAGGCUGCAGCUUCUACUGUCUCUAAUGGCACUUC